UACGGGGGGGGCAAGCGUUGUUCGGAAUUACUGGGCGUAAAGGGCUCGUAGGGGGCCAACUAAGUCGGACGUGAAAUCCCUCAGCUUAACUGGGGAACUGCGUCCGAUACUGGAUGGCUUGAGUUUGGGAGAGGGAUGCGGAAUUCCAGGUGUAGCGGUGAAAUGCGUAGAUAUCUGGAGGAACACCGGUGGCGAAGGCGGCAUCCUGGACCAACACUGACACUGAGGAGCGAAAGCCAGGGGAGCAAACGGG
rnacentral:rRNA from 1 species